GGAAGGGGAGAGGAGUGAUGAUGACUGUCAGAAAUCCUUGAGGAAGUUCCUUUUUUCUACUCUUGGAUGUGCGUUGUUUCAGUAACCCAUGUUGUGCCUGGCAGGCUCGUGCCCCAGCACAGCUGCAGUUCAGAAGCACCUUUAGAUGCUAUCUUUAAUGUUCUUCUAGAAAAAGAAUUAGGCAGAGCUGAGCUUCUCUCUUAAUUUUGAGGAGAGAUUGCAUCUUCAAAGGUAUUGAAGAAUACAGAUCCCAAAGCAAACUCAGAAUACGGUGCAUAAAGUUUUCAUAGCUGCAUUAGACUGGAAAACAUCCUGGCCCGCAUUCCAACUCCUGCCAUCUCCAGUUCUGCUGCUGAGAGCUCCCAACCUCAGUCUCGGUGACAGAUAUUUACAUUUGGAGACAGAAUCAACAGUGCAAGGCCAGACCUGUGCCCUCAUUGCUCUCAAAAAUAAAAAGAGAUGUCUGGAAAUUAAAGCAAGUGUCUGAGAUUAUACUGUUUUCUUGCAUCUUGACUCUUACAGCUAAGGACAAACGUGAUGCUGUUGCCUGUGUUUUCCUUAGAACCACAGAAUGGCUUGAGUUGGAAGGGACCUCAGUCAUUAUCCAGUUCCACUCCUACACCAUGGGCAGGGUUGCCAACUUACUCAGGCAUCUUUAUGGGCACAGAGCAGCAUAUGCCUCUGCCCUUCACAAUGACUUUCUUCAAGCACUUGAUGAAGACAUAUACCAUUCUGAACCACAUUUGAGGGUGUUUCCAACUAAGCUUGGUGAGGGAUGAAGCUAUAAGGACUCAUUGCCAAGAAAUGCUAGUGGAUACACACCUUCACCCCUCUUGCAGAGAACUAUUGAUGGGCUCACGUGGCUGAGAUAUUUAUGAAGAAACUUCUUGUACAAGACCUUGUCCCUGACGAGCUUUUAAUGAUGAGGAAGCGACUCAACAAUCGAUGCUCAAGAGGUUGAAAUAAGAAAGCCACUCCGGCCACAUAGGAACCAUUGCAGAACUCCAGGGAUGCUUCAUUGCAGCAUGACAAAAGUUAGGAGCGAUGCUGUGGAGCGAUGGGGCUCUGUGGAGGAACAAAGCAAGAAUUCCUGUGCUCACUGCUGUAUUCUCCUUCAACACACACUGAAAAAUAAUAGUGGAAAUAAAAAGAAUAAACCAUUUUGGCGCUGAUAUUAUUUACCUUGCUUUAACAUAACACUUAAGGCAAGUCACUGAAGACCAAGUCUACUGAAAGAUCUAAAGUUUGCAUCCAGUGAAGUCAAAAGCUACAGGUGCUGGCUCAGGACCUCG
ensembl:lncRNA